CUUAUGUUUCAGUUUGGGCCAUCAUAGCAGUUUGACUGUUUCAAAAACCGCAAAAAGGCCUAGUAUUUGUGAAAGUAGACACUCCAGGGUAUCUCAUAUGGCAUAUAUUGUGCCUUAACAUGUCGCCAUUUUUUCACCAUUAUAUGUCAAAGUUUGUGGUAAAAAAAUAUUUUUUGCAGUUUUUCCUUAAGCAUUACAUUUGUGCUGGGCAUUUUGUAUAUUUGAUAUGUUCC